AUUGAACGCUGGCGGCAGGCCUAACACAUGCAAGUCGAACGAGUGGCGGACGGGUGAGACAUGUCUGGGAAACUGCCUGAUGCAGGGGGAUAACUACUGGAAACGGUAGCUAAUACCGCAUACCAUCGGAUGUGCCAAGAUGGGAUUAGCUAGUAGGUGGGGUAAAGGCUCACCAAGGCGACGAUCCCUAGCUGGUCUGAGAGGAGGACCAGCCACACUGGAACUGAGACACGGCCCAGACUCCUACGGGAGGCAGCAGUGGGGAAUAUUGCGCAAUGGGCGCAAGCCUGAUGGAGCCACGCCGCGUGUAUGAAGAAGGUCUUCGGGUUGUAAAGUACUGUCAGCGGGGAGGCGUUACCCGCAGAAGAAGCAACGGCUAACUCCGUGCCAGCAGCCGCGGUAAUUC
rnacentral:rRNA from 1 species